UACGGGGGGGGCAAGCGUUGUUCGGAAUUACUGGGCGUAAAGGGCGCGUAGGCGGUCAGACCAAGUCGAGUGUGAAAUUCCAGGGCUUAACUCUGGCGCGCUCGCUCGAUACUGGUCGGCUAGAGUGUGGAAGAGGAUGCUGGAAUUCCCGGUGUAGCGGUGAAAUGCGUAGAUAUCAAGAGGAACACCUGCGGCGAAGGCGGGUUGCUGGGCCGACACUGACGCUGAGGCGCGAAAGCUAGGGGAGCGAACGGG
rnacentral:rRNA from 1 species